GGACCAAGGGUUUAUUUUUUCCCCCUUCCAAAAGACCAAAAACGUUUUUUGCGGACCAGCAUUUCCUGGGUUAAUUUAGGGAGGGAACCGCCAGGUAGGGCCCCAUUGCCACAAAAAUUUUUUGAAGGAACAAGGGGGAAGGAGGUAACUUCCGGUUGGAUUAAGCCUGAACGCCUCUAAGGUCGUAUCCGUGCUGGACUGCAAUGAUAAUAAGGGGGCAAUUUGCAUUGUAUGGCUUCUAAACCAUUAAAAAGUUUUUAAUUUGUUUUAUUAACGACAAUGGAUGUGAUGCCAAUGUUUAUUUAUAACAUAGUAAAUUGGGAGGAUCUUCGAUCACCUGAUGCCGCGCUAGUUAUAUUUUAAAACAUUAUUUAAUACAAUGUCAAAGCCUAGAAUCAAUUGUAAACGACUUUUGUAACAGGCAAGGUGUUGUAAGUGGUUGAGCAGCUGCCAUACUGCGAUCCACUGAAGCUUAUCCUUUGCUUGAUGAUUCGA
rnacentral:ncRNA from 1 species